UGAAUUUGAUCCGAACUUUUGUUUGAGUUUUGAGAUUUCUGUUUGUAAAAAAUGCAAUGCCAAUUUGAUGAUUACAGUGCGGAUCUGAGAUCUUGUUUGCAUGUCUCUGUGUGUUUUAAUUGAUGCUUGCCGUUGUAACCAUUAUGUGCUAUGAUCUUAGGUAUCAAAUGUUACAAGCAGGUCUUCUAGUGCUUGAUAUUGUUUGGUAGAACAGCAGUCACUGAUGGAAAACAUUCCUCACCUUUUCCUCCCUUAUUGAAGCUAUGAAAUGGUGGGUAAAAUGUUAAAAUAGACUGACUAAACAGUGUUAAUAGUUUUGAACUUUGUAACAGCAAGAAUGCUGAUUUGAAUUCCCUCGAACCUUGUCAAGA
rnacentral:misc_RNA from 1 species